CCUACGGGUGGCAGCAGUGGGGAAUAUUGCACAAUGGGGGGAACCCUGAUGCAGCGACGCCGCGUGGGUGAGGAAGUACUUCGGUAUGUAAAGCCCUAUCAGCAGGGAAGAAAAUGACGGUACCUGACUAAGAAUCCCCGGCUAACUACGAGCCAGCAGCCGCGGCAAUACGUAGGGGGCAGGCGUUAUCCGGAUUUACUGGGUGUAAUGGGAGUGUAGACGGUGUGCCAAGUCUGAUGUGAAAGGCCGGGGCUCAACCCCGGGACUGCAGUGGAAACUGGCAUGCUGGAGUGCCGGAGGGGCAAGCGGAAUUCGUAGUGUAGCGGUGAAAUGCGUAGAUAUUAGGAGGAACACCGGUGGCGAAGGCAGCCUGCUGGACUGUGACUGACGUUGAGGCCCGAAGGCGUGGGGAGCAAACAGGAUUAGAUACCCGAGUAGUC
rnacentral:rRNA from 1 species